GGAUGUGUGUCUGUGGGGGUAGAAGGGGGGAGGGGUGGCGUGCACGUGGUCGGUGUGGGUGGAUCCAAGCACGCGGUAGGGUAAGUAAGUAUGCAGCAACGGGAGGAGGGAGUGGGGGUGUCUGACACGUCAUCAGUGGGAUCAGCACACACAAAAAAUCAACCCCACUUCCUUAUUCUCCUUUGACCUAAUCACAAAUCAUUGCGUCCAACCUACCGGUUUCUAUCGCAAACACAAAAGGUGAUAAAUGUUAAUGAUUACUAGACUUUUUAUUUCCCCUCAGAAAUUCAAAUUAGACAAGCUGGGCGCGUGAGGGCCCGCCCCAGUGCGCGCGUGUGUGUGUCAUAAGAUAGCUGAGCAAUGUCAGGGUAUUAUGUAAAGAGCAGCCAUGGCUCGCCACCGCCCUGCCGGUGCCCACUGAGCAAAAAUAAAUCCACUUAAAUUAACUCUUUCACAAAUAAUAAAAAAAGGUGCGGCAAUUAUAACAUAACUGGUUAUUUUAUAAUAUUUUAAAACUUAAAAAAAAUGCUACCACUGCGUACAAAGGGGCUUAUGUUGGGUUUCUGCAACAGAUUAGUCUGAUAUUUAAAUGAACUCUGGAGAAAAGGAAAUCCUCUGCUGUGCCUCCAUUACACACAUGCGCGCGCGUACGAAAUCGUCUGUUGACGUCAUCGGUGCUCCGCGGUUUGGCGCCAGCCGUUGGCCCGCAGCGCAUGCAGACGGAUCAGGCGCCAGCCAGCCAAUCAGCGCUCAGAACAACAAGGCAUGGUGCUGGUCCACAUGGGCACCCGCCCGGCUCGAGGAGCAGCUCAUUUGCAUGGCGAGAGCGUGACUGGCCACCCCGCUGUCUCCAGAUCAGAGCCGUCAGUCAAACCCACAGGGGCGGGGCCUGGGAGCGUGGAAGUGGUUCCUCUCUGGAAAGGAGCAGCUGUUCUCAUUUUACCUCCGAUGAGAGAUUACAACACAAGAUAUAAACCGUCCUGAUGACAUGAAACCCACUAAAAUGAGCAGAAAACCUGCAGAUCUCUGCCCCAUUCUGCAGCACAGAGGCUGACACACCACAUUAAAAAGGCCGGAUGCUUUCUGAAAACACUCUGCUCUCAUAAGAAGGUGAGGCCCGAUCUGCUGUAAGUGCUGACCUUGAAACCUCUCAACACAUCCGUGACAUGCCAGCGUAUUUGGAUCUCCGCUGGCUGCUCGCUUUCUGCUCCCUCCAAGAACCGGACCCAGUGUUAUAUCUGAGAAAAAUGGGUGACCCAAAAGCAAAAUAAAUGAGAAUUUCA